GAGUUUGAUCCUGGCUCAGAACGAACGCUGGCGGCGUGCUUAACACAUGCAAGUCAGGGAGAAAGUCUCUUCGGGGAUGAUUAAACCGGCGCACGGGUGAGUAACACGUGAGUGACCUGCCUUUUAGACUGGAACAACUUACCGAAAGGUGAGCUAAUGCCGGAUGAGUUAUAUAAGUGCAUGUUUAUAUAGGAAAAGUUGGGGAGACCUGACGCUGAAAGAUGGACUCGCGUCCCAUUAGCUAGUUGGUAGGGUAAUGGCCUACCAAGGCGACGAUGGGUAGCCGGCCUGAGAGGGUGGCCGGCCACACUGGGACUGAGACACGGCCCAGACUCCUACGGGAGGCAGCAGUGGGGAAUUUUGCGCAAUGCUCGUAAGAGUGACGCAGCGACGCCGCGUGAAUGACGAAGGCCUUCGGGUCGUAAAGUUCUUUCGACAGGGAAGAAAAUGCCUAUAAGUAACUGUGUAUGUAUUGACGGUACCUGUAUAAGCAGCCCCGGCUAACUCCGUGCCAGCAGCCGCGGUAAUACGGAGGGGGCGAGCGUUGUUCGGAGUGACUGGGCGUAAAGAGCACGUAGGCGGUGUUGUAAGUCAUUAGUCAAAGACUAGAGCUCAACUUUAGUAAGGCUAGUGAUACUAUAAUACUAGAGUAUCAGAGAGGAUUGCAGAAUUCCUGGUGUAGCGGUGAAAUGCGUAGAUAUCAGGAGGAAUACCGUUAGCGAAGGCGGCAAUCUGGCUGGAAACUGACGC
rnacentral:rRNA from 1 species